GACGAACGCUGGCGGCGUGCUUAACACAUGCAAGUCGAACGAAAAGAGGGAAAGAGCUUGCUCUUUCCGGAAUUGAGUGGCAAACGGGUGAGUAACACGUAAACAACCUGCCUUCAGGAUGGGGACAACAGACGGAAACGACUGCUAAUACCGAAUAAGUUCCAAGAGCCGCAUGGCCCAUGGAAGAAAAGGUGGCCUCUACCUGUAAGCUAUCGCCUGAAGAGGGGUCUGCGUCUGAUUAGCUGGUUGGAGGGGUAACGGCCCACCAAGGCGACGAUCAGUAGCCGGUCUGAGAGGAUGAACGGCCACACUGGAACUGAGACACGGUCCAGACUCCUACGGGAGGCAGCAGUGGGGAAUCUUCCGCAAUGGGCGAAAGCCUGACGGAGCAACGCCGCGUGGGUGAUGACGGCCUUCGGGUUGUAAAACUCUGUGAUCCGGGACGAAAAGGCAGAGUGCGAAGAACAAACUGCAUUGACGGUACCGAAAAGC
rnacentral:rRNA from 1 species